rnacentral:rRNA from 1 species
CGGGCGGCUGCAGUGGGGAAUAUUGGGCAAUGGAGGCAACUCUGACCCAGCCAUGCCGCGUGGGUGACGAAGGUCUUCGGAUUGUAAAGCCCUUUCGGCGGGGACGAUGAUGACGGUACCCGCAGAAGAAGCCCCGGCUAACUUCGUGCCAGCAGCCGCGGUAAUACGAAGGGGGCUAGCGUUGUUCGGAAUUACUGGGCGUAAAGGGCGUGUAGGCGGCCCGCUAAGUCAGGUGUGAAAGGCCUGGGCUCAACCCAGGAAAUGCGCCUGAGACUGACGGGCUUGAAUCCGGGAGAGGAUGGUGGAACUCCCAGUGUAGAGGUGAAAUUCGUAGAUAUUGGGAAGAACACCCGUGGCGAAGGCGGCCAUCUGGACCGGUAUUGACGCUAAGGCGCGACAGCGUGGGGAGCAAACAGGAUUAGAUACCCCAGUAGUC